UGUAGAACUUUUCCCAGAAUUAAAGAAAUAUGAAAGCCUUCAGAUUGCAAAGGCUCCUAAAGUGUCAAACAGAGAGAAAAGAAAAAGCCUAGACAUAGAGGAGUGUACAUGGAGA